CUGCUCCCAGGAGGCUCUGUGAAUUUGAUCUCGGGACCAGGGGCAGAAAAAUUGGACUCAUCCUUCCACUAAGGAAUGUGAAGACUUCCUUCAGGAGUUCAAACUGCUUCUAAGGUGGAUGCUAAAAACUGAGACGUCUCAACAAACAACCAACCAAACAACUGAGCCCUCUAAGUUUCGGCUCUUUUGAAUCCAUACAUUUUUCUCCUCCACCCAAAGCUUUGCGUUUGUAAGUGAAAUUCCUGAUUCUCCAGUUUUAAGAUCCUAAUUUGGGAGUUAAAGGUUGAACUAACAUCUUUUCUGUUUGCAUUCCAGCUUUCACAAUCCUUAUCCUCCUCAAGGCAAUGGCCCUCCGGUUGAAAAGGACAAAUCUGAUGUACAAGGAUGUGGGGAAAAGCAAAGCACAGUAAAACACUUUACAGCAUUGUGCUGGCACGUUAACUUUCAUUUUCAUCCAAUAAUAAGCGGUGAUAAAGUAAAUUAUAAAAUAAUUUUUUUAAACAGCUAUUUCGGAAAGUCAACAAGGCAACAUAAAUAGGUGACAUUGAGGAUUGUGCUGUCCAGAAGGAGGAAGAUAAUCUACUGUUUUUCCAUUGUUCUGUGGCCAGAUUUUGGGUUCAUACUCUAAGUGGAUCAUUUAUGAUCCUGAGAGGUUCAGGUACAAAGAAUAGACAGAUACUGUGUUAGUCUGUUCGGGCUGCUAUAACAAAAAUACCAUUGACUGGGUUUCUUAAACAACAAAUAGUUAUUUCUCAUAGUUCUCGUGGCUGGGAAAUCCAAGAUCAAGACCCUGGUAGAUUUGACAUCUGGUGAAGGCCAGCUUCCUGCUUGGUACAUGGUGGCAAGGGGAAGGGAGCUUUCUAGGGUCUCUUUUAUUAGGGUAGUAAUCCCUUUCAUGAGCCUCCACCCUCAUGAUCUAAUCACCUCCCAGACAGCACCUCCAAAUACCAUCACAUUGGAGGUUAGGAUUUCAACAUAUGAAUUUUCGAGGGACACAAACAUUCAGUCCAUAACAGGUAGUGACACCACAAUGUGUGGGGUAUGGUUAAUAAAGCCGUGUUUAGUUAAAACAAAACAAAACAAAACAAAACAAAACAAAACACCCAAAACCAAUAAAACCCAAAACCUCGGGAGAUUUUAUCAGUUGACUUCAAAUAUCUACAAGGCUUUCCUUUCUCAGUAUUUUAAAUUACACUUCACAUGUGUUUUGGGUUGUAUUACUUCAUGUACAUUUUUGGAUAAGGAUGGAUAGUAAUACAUUUCUAAGCAAAUACA
rnacentral:lncRNA from 1 species